rnacentral:lncRNA from 1 species
AGUUGAUGUAAUUACCAAAGCCCCCAAAGAAAAGGCAAGGAGAUUCAGAAUGGGUGUCCAUGGAGAGGAUUCUGGGAAGGAGGCACCAUAAAAAGCUUCAGGAAUCUGCCUCUGCCUGGCCAGCAAUGGCCCUGGCUCUGUCUGUCAUUAUUUUAGAACACUGGUGUAAUUAUUUUAGAACACUGGCAUGUUGUGAAGGUUUACAACUUUCUAUGGAAGGCUUGGGGAGUAAACUGCACUUAAUUUGGGUCAUUUUCAGCUCUGAGCACAAUAAUAGCUAACCAUUCCUCAAGUGUAGCCCCCUGGCAGGCAGCUGUACAGGUUCCUGAAACAACCUGCAUACACGCUGAAGAAACACAGUGGGCGAAAAUAAACCCUGUCUUCCAACAGCUGUGCUCAGCACUGACCAUUGCUCUGAACACAGGAGGUGCAGGCAGAGACAGGUGGGCAUUGCUUUCACAUUUUCCUUCACUGUUGUCCAAGCUGGUGUGAUUUCCAAUGUAUUCAAAGGGUCGGUACCUUUCUUCCCUCUCCAUUUUUUUUUUUUUUGAUAUUUACCUUUGGGGAACUGUACAUUAAAAAAUGGUACAUUCAAAGCACAUCCAGGGAAAAUUAGAAUGUGACCGUAUGUGCUGCAGAGUCAGAGAGACCUGAAAAGACCCUUGUCACAGACAUAGUCUACAACAGUGAAACACAAAACUUAGGGGAAACCAUGUAAAACAAACGAAACAAACAGAAAAAAGAAAGACCUAGGGAAGAGAGAAUGAAGCAAUGUACCCAGAAAAAAAAAAAACUACAUAGUUAAUCUACCAAAUGCUUUAAAACAAAUUUCUGAAAGAACUACCACAAGAAGAUGUGAUGGAAGGGAAGGAAGGAAGGAAGGACUAAAAAAUAGAAACAUUCAAUACACAGGUGCUGGGGAGAUGGCUGGGUCAGUAACGUACCGGCCACACAAGCAUGGUACCCACAUUAAUUUUUUUUUUUUUAGGCCAAUGACUAGGAUUCUCAUCUGCUAGCUCAGUCUUAAUUAUCAUAAAUCUAUAUAUGUUAUAAGACUUAUCAGACGCCUUAUUGGUGUCCCUCCUUGCUGGUAGAUCACAUUGUGCCCGCUGGAGCAGGAGCGGAGGGGAAAGAGCCACAUUAAAUUUUUUUAAGCCAAAAAAGUUGGCAUUUGUAAUCCCAGCAUGACUGAAGUCUCAUUAAGGAAAACUGUUUCUGACAAACUAUCAAAAGAAUGGAAUCUAUGUCUUCUGGUUGGGACUGCCAAUCACCUGGCCAAAGGACUACCCCUCUGGAAGGGCUGGUUCACCUUAAACCAUGCUAAAGAGAUAGGAGGAGGAAUUAUCCCUUUAAUGAGAUAAUGGACUCUUCCUUCCCAGAAUUCCUGCCCCCUAGUGCAGUGCGUAUAAGCCUCCAGAAAGUCAUGACUUUUUCGCUUUCUACUCUUCUGUCUUCUGGGUGCUGGCUAGAGCCUAAGUACACUUUUCCCAGUAGCUGGACAUGUUUUUACUCUUCCUCUGAAACUAACCUUCUCAUCAUACGGCUGACCUCCAUGCCAGCCUACUUCAAACAGCGUGCCUCUCUCUCCCUCCUAAGUGCCCACCUAUGAAUCUAUAAGAAAUAUCUCUCUAAAACUCACCCUCUGCGUUCCAUGAAUUUCAUUUCUCAAAUUAAACAAACAAAACCCUGAAAGUCACUGGCUCAAGAGUCAGUCCUUGGAGGCCCCUUGAGUCUUCUGGAACCCAGGAUCCAAGCUGAGAAAGGCAGAUCAGAGACAUCAAGAGGAAGAGAAUGAAAAAGGACUGAAGGAAAACUAUCGGAGCCUAACAGACCCAUGGAACACCAUAAGCAGACUAGCAUGGACACACGGGAUUCUAAUAGAAGAGAAACAGAACAUCAGACAGAGGACAUUAGAAGAAAUAAUGGCUAAAAUUUUCCAAAUUUGGUAAAAGUCACAAAUACGUAUGUGUAGUUAACUCAAUGAAUUCCAAGGGAAGAAAUUCAGAGACCCACACUAAGAAACAUUGUGAUCCAAUUCUAGAGAACCAAGGGCAAAUGCUAACUAAACUUCAGGGCAGCAAGAGAGAAGUGGUUCACACAUGAGGGUCCCAGAGGAUCAGAGCAUUCAUGGCUUCUCACCAAAGGACAGCCAGGAUAGGGCAGCCAGGAUAGGCAAAGUGCCAAAAGGAACAACUGUCAGCUGAGAAUCCUGCAUGUGGACAAACUGUCCCUCUAAAGUGAGAACGACAUGAAAACAUUUCCAGAUCAAUAGAUGCUGAAAGUUGCUGUCACCACCAGGACCUACCUCAUAGAAAACACUCAAAGAAGGCCUGCGGAGUAAAAGAAAAGGUGUGAAGCACACAAUGAAGUGCCGGAGAUUGAGCUCAGGGCUUUGUACCUGCUGAGGAAGUGCUCUUGCCACCAUUGGCCUACAUCCCACAUCCACUGAACAGCAGCACUUCUGGAAAAUAAACAAUUAUUAGACAGGAUAUGGUGGUUCAGGGAGGAUCACCACAAGCCACCCUGGACUACAAGGGAGUCAGCGUGGUGAUACUUUGUUUAUGAUCUAACAAAUAAAACUUGCCUGAAGAUCAGACAGCAAAGCUAGCCACACUGGUUAGCCAUAGAGGCCAGGAAGUGGUGGUACACACCUCUAAACCCAGCACUAGAGAGGACUAUAAGGCGGGAGGAGACAGGAGCUCAGUGCAGUCUGAGGUUUGGUGGAGCCAGAUGCAGUCUGGAGAUGCAGUCUGAGGACAGUGAUUAGACAUAACGCUCACUCCACAUAUGGAACUCAUACCCAACACUGCUUGGGUGACUAAGAACCAGAAAUUAGAUAGCUCAGAGACCUAGGGUAAGACCAAAUACCACUGUUCUAAAAAUAAAUAAAUAAAUAAAUAAAUAAAUAAAUAAAUAAAUAAAUAAAUAAAUAAAUGACUGCUAAUGAUAUUCUGCUAUACUCAUAGAUCAGUUUCAUGUUCAGCCACUAUCAGAGAAAUUUCCUCCUGAAGCAGAUGUGAACAGAUACAGAGACCCUCAGCAAGACAUUACCGAGUGAGAGACCUUGGGGUACUAAAACCUAAAGAGGAUGUCUCCAUCAAAUCCUUUCCCUCAGAGCUCAGGGAACCCCGCAGUAGAGGAGGUGGAAAGAGAAUAAGAGUCAGAAGGGAUGGAGGCACCAAGAAAACAAGGCUCUCUAAACCAACAUGAGCAAAUACCCUAUGAAUUCAGAGAGACUGAGGCGGUGUGUGCAGAGCCUGCGCAGGUCUGCACCUGGUCCUCGGUGCAGACAUUUCGUGUUUUUAUGGGACUCCCGAGUUUGCAAACAAGUGGGUCUCUGAUUCUUAUGUCUGCUCUUAGCCCCUUCUCCUCCUGUUUUGUCUUGUCCAACUUCCAUGUGAUAGUUUUUCUUUUAUCUUAUUGCAUUUUAGAUUGUUAUUUUUUAAGCGAAUGAGUGAAAACUAGGGUAAAUGCUAACAGCUGAACUUCUGGAGACAAAAUCAAUUUUCUCCAAUAGAGUGGCGCUGGGUACAGCAAUCACUCCAGGACAGGCCUAUACUCAGAAGUACUUGGCCGACAUAUAAUAGAUUUCACAGUUUUGUGAGUGUGCUUUUAUUUGGUUACCAUUUGGUGAGAUUCUUUUUCUGUUUGAGUUUUGUUUUACUUUGUUUUCUUGGUUUGGGGGGAUUUUUUGCUGUAUUGGGGUGCUUUUGUUGGGUGCAUAGGGUUGAGGAGGGGAUCUGAAAGGACAUGAGGGAAGG